rnacentral:rRNA from 1 species
UAUUGCACAAUGGGGGAAACCCUGAUGCGGCGACGCCGCGUGAGCGAUGAAGUAUUUCGGUAUGUAAAUCUCUAUCAGCAGUGAAGAANNUGACGGUACCUAACUAAGAAUCCCCGGCUAACUACGUGCCAGCAGCCGCGGUAAUACGUAGGGGGCAAGCGUUAUCCGGAUUUACUGGGUGUAAAGGGAGCGUAGACGGCGGUGCAAGCCAGAUGUGAAAGCCCGGGGCUCAACCCCGGGACUGCAUUUGGAACUGUGCUGCUAGAGUGUCGGAGAGGCAGGCGGAAUUCCUAGUGUAGCGGUGAAAUGCGUAGAUAUUAGGAGGAACACCAGUGGCGAAGGCGGCCUGCUGGACGAUGACUGACGUUGAGGCUCGAAAGCGUAGGGAGCAAACAGG